UACGUAGGGUCCGAGCGUUGUCCGGAAUUACUGGGCGUAAAGAGCUCGUAGGUGGUUUGUCGCGUUGUUCGUGAAAACUCACAGCUCAACUGUGGGCGUGCGGGCGAUACGGGCAGACUAGAGUACUGCAGGGGAGACUGGAAUUCCUGGUGUAGCGGUGAAAUGCGCAGAUAUCAGGAGGAACACCGAUGGCGAAGGCAGGUCUCUGGGCCGAUACUGACGCUGGAGGAGCGAAAGCGUGGGGAGCGAACAGG
rnacentral:rRNA from 1 species